GCAUUCGUUCUUCCAUUUAAUAAAUGCACCCUGAGCGCCCACUGGGGGCCAGGCACUAACCCAGGAGACGGAAGUACAAGCCACCCAGAAAUCACUUGGAUUUCGCCCAAGUCGGAGGAAGUUGAUUUUUAAAGCCUCAGCUCUGCCAUUUCUAAACUGAAUGAAGUUGACCUCCCUGAACUUUUGUUCCUCAUCAGUAAACGACACACAAAUUAGAGCUGUCAGGAGAACUGAGCAGCAAAAAGCGUGAGGUCAGUGCCGCAGUGUGCACACUUAUUGUUAAUUACAGAUGAAGGAGCCCCAAGCUCAACGUUAAGGGGCUUGGACCAGGUGUUCAGUGGACAGCCCGUUGUGCUCUUGCGUCCAACUGGGAGAAAGGCUGCUUCCACCGAGAAGCCAGAGACGGCUGCCUGGAGGAGGAUACAAAGCAGCAUUCCUUCAGUAGCUCGUAUGAAUCUGGUCCCUUCAAAACAUCCUGGUCAAGUACGUGGGCCUAAAGGAGCUACCCAUUUCACAGAGGAGGAAACUGAGACCAAGCAAGAAGAAGGCCCAACCAGGGACCACUUGGCCUGAGAGUUGGCAGCCCUGGGAUUCGAACCUCCCGCCCGCCAAGACGCCUGCGCUGGUCGCAUGGCCCUGCCCGUUGCCUUGGAAACGGUGCCGCACGCGCGUACUGCUUCCCCUUGCUUGUUCUUCCGCGAGCACCCUCGUUCUUUUUUAAAUAAAAACCUAAGGCGGCGGGAUACUGCCAGCGACUGAACGUGCUGUCGAAGCACGCCGCUACGUCCGCUCUCCGCCCUGGGCCGCAGAUCCCUCCGCCGCCCGGCGGCCCGCGCGCUUCUUCCCGACAGCAAGCUCGAAACGACUUCCCGCGCGCCGCGCCGCGCCCCUCCCCCACCUUAUCCCCACCCCAACCCCCAGCCCGGCUCACCUGCCGCCCGCGUCUCCAUGGCAACGCCCCCACCGCGGAGGAAAAAAAAGCCUCGGGCCCUUCCGGGCCCCCUCCCGCGCCGACCGAGAAGGCGGGGCGACUCACUGAUGCUUCGCUUUUUAUUUUUAUUUUUUUAAGAAAAGAGCCGGCGCGGUUAUGGCGAAUCUGCGGCAUCCAACAUGGCGGAUGGAGUCUUUGCCCUCCUCUUCAGGGGCGCUGACGCCGGCGUCGCGGACGUCAGCCUCGAUGACCCUCCCCCAGCGCCGAGCGCGGCCAGGCUGGGCCGGGCUACUGCGCAUGCUCAGAUCCGCGGCUGUGCUUUGCGCCCCGUUCCGCGGAUUCCGUCGCUCCGCGUUUUGAUCCUCUCCUGAGAAGGAGCUCACGGGAUGCCUGGAAACGGGUUGCAGGUUUGGGAGUCUCCCCAGUUCUACCCCGAACCUGCAGCUACCUGCCGGCCCAUCCUUGGACCCACGCGGUGUGGAGCCACUGGGCUGGACGUGGAAGGAGGUCAGCGUUCGCGUUCCAGUUGUCAGCGCUUUAACUUGUCUUGACCUCGGUUUACUAACUUGUCGGUCGGAAUGGUUACCGCCUGCCCCCUUCUCAAAUGUUGCAGUUUUUCCUGAAGUGGGAUGCUUUCCGCUGGGAGUACCCGACUUGAUUUAGCCAUAGGCAGAAUUAGACAACCUGGAACCACCUUGACAGAGCAACUGCCUGCUCUUCGUCCUCCUGAUCGUCUUGCAGAAAGUCUCAGUUGGGUGUGAGCACGCGUCCCUAGCACUUGCUCAUCUCCCUGAACCUGGCUCACAGCCUUCCUUCUGCAGGCAACAGUAUCUGGUUGAGACGUAAUGACCUCAUUUUCCUUUUUGGUGUUAAGGUGGUUAGUCUACCACUUCCUUCAGAUCUCUGCUCAAAUGACAUCUAGCCGGCCCUCCUGGACCACCCCAUCCAAAGUAACCCUCCUAAAUCACUUUCUAUUUUCUGCGUCGUAUCUAUUACUGCCUAACAGUAAUAGAUCUCGUCUUGGUCACCCCUUUGGCCUCAGAAACUGGAAGAACCUGACAGUUAAUCUGUUGGACUAAUUAAUGAGUUGGUGUUGCUUCUAUUUUUAAGUUUAGUUGUCACAAUUAGUUUGUAACAAAUGAUACAGGUUUUCAUUUAUGGUAGUAAUUGUAUAGAGUUUUGUUUUUAAACCCAGUUUAUUUACAUUUUUAAAAAUUCAUCAACUUAAAAUGGUACAUCCGAUGUGGUACAGAGACAAGGCAAAAAAAUGUAAACGUGAACUUCAAGUGAGAAACCUGGGAAAUACUGAUUUACUUUUAUGGUUCUCCUGAAAUGCUAAUCUGCCUGUUGUCUUUUCCUGGAGUAACCUCCCUACUUUGCUGCCCAACUUGAGAAAUCCUCCUUCAGCGCACGUCUGGCGUUCCCACGUCCCCAUUAGUCCUUCCUGCACAUCGUCCCCGCGCCCAUUGUGUUUAUCCGUUUGCGCAGCCCUCACCCCGUGAGCUGGACCGUGUGCUUCUUGAGCAGAGAAGCCAUGCAGGUCUCUUCCAUCCUUGUUCCCAGCUCCCUCUGCACACUGGUGCUACUCAGUCAUCCCUUCUGUUCCUGUUGUCACUUGUUUUCCAGUUAGUAAAACUCCCUUGAACACUGAGCUUUAGGAUAGUCUGUCAGACUUCUGUCUUGCUCCUUAAUCCUGUUCUUGGGAAAUGAGUCAUUGUUAAGACCCCAGUUUUACCCAGCCCAUCAGAUAUAUGUUCAGAGAUAGCUCCUCCCCUGACCCCUUCAUUUCAUCCUCACAGCAACUGAGGAGGGGAAGUGAAAUUGGACAGAUAGGAUUAUGCUUCUUUCCUAAAAGAAAAGGAAUGUUCAGAGAGGUUAUGUGGCUUUCUGAGAUCACACAGCAAGCCAAUGAGGACCCAGGUGUGGAACUGGUAUCUCCAUGCCCAGAAUUCUCCCCACUUUACCACAGGGCCACCUGGGAUGUACCCACACUACCCACCACACCCCAGAAAGAGCCGAUUCCAAGGCAAUGGUAGGGUGAUUGCUGCACACCCGUCACAUCCUAUAUCCCAAAAUUGGAUGGCUGGGUGAAGCCCAUCACCACCUUUCAUUUGGAAAUGAACUGCUCAAAAAGCUUCAUUGAUAAGCUUUCCCUUUUAGAACAAUAAAUAUUUGCAAUAACCACUA